ACUCCUACGGGAGGCAGCAGUGGGGAAUUUUGCACAAUGGGGGAAACCCUGAUGCAGCGACGCCGCGUGAUUUAGAAGGCCUUCGGGUUGUAAAAUCUUUGUAUAGGAAGAAAUGACAGUACUAUACGAAUAAGGUCCGGCUAAUUACGUGCCAGCAGCCGCGGUAAUACGUAAGGACCGAGCGUUGUCCGGAAUCAUUGGGCGUAAAGGGUACGUAGGCGGCUAGAAAAGUUAGAAGUCAAAGGCUAUAGCUCAACUAUAGUAAGCUUCUAAAACUAUUUAGCUUGAGAAAUGGAAGGGAAAGUGGAUUCCUAGUGUAGCGGUGGAAUGCGCAGAUAUUAGGAAGAAUACCGGUGGCGAAGGCGACUUUCUGGCCAUUAUCUGACGCUGAGGUACGAAAGCGUGGGUAGCAAACAGGAUUAGAUACCCUGGUAGGAUAGCG
rnacentral:rRNA from 1 species